rnacentral:rRNA from 1 species
AUUGAACGCUGGCGGCAGGCCUAACACAUGCAAGUCGAGCGCGCGGCGGACGGGUGUGUAUUGUCUGGGAAACUGCCUGUUGGAGGGGGAUAACUACUGGAGACGGUAGCUCAUACCGCAUAUCCUCAGAUGUGCCCACAUGGGAUUAGCUCGUGGGUGGGGUAACGGCUCACCUAGGCGACGAUCCCUAGCUGGUCUGAGAGGAUGACCCGCCACACUGGAACUGAGACACGGUCCAGACUCCUACGGGAGGCAGCAGUGGGGAAUAUUGCACAAUGGGCGCAAGCCUGAUGCAGCCAUGCCGCGUGUAUGAAGAAGGCCUUCGGGUUGUAAAGUACUUUCAGCGGGGAGGCGUUACCCGCAGAAGAAGCACCGGCUAACUCCGUGCCAGCAGCCGCGGUAAUUC